rnacentral:tRNA from 2 species
GGGGAAAUAGCUCAGUUGGUUAGAGUGCUGGUCUGUCACGCCAGAAGUCGCGGGUUCGAAGCCCGUUUUCCCCG